rnacentral:rRNA from 1 species
GAUGAACGCUGGCGGCGUGCCUAAUACAUGCCAGUCGAGCGAACAGACGAGGAGCUUGCUCCUCUGACGUUAGCGGCGGACGGGUGAGUAACACGUGGAUAACCUACCUAUAAGACUGGGAUAACUUCGGGAAACCGGAGCUAAUACCGGAUAACAUGUUGAACCGCAUGGUUUAACAGUGAAAGACGGUCUUGCUGUCACUUAUAGAUGGAUCCGCGCCGCAUUAGCUAGUUGGUAAGGUAACGGCUUACCAAGGCAACGAUGCGUAGCCGACCGGAGAGGGUGGUCGGCCACACUGGAACUGAGACACGGUCCAGACUCCUACGGGAGGCAGCAGUAGGGAAUCUUACGCAAUGGGCGAAAGCCUGACGGAGCAACGCCGCGUGAGUGAAGAAGGUCUUCGGAUCGUAAAACUCUGUUAUUAGGGAAGAACAAAUGUGUAAGUAACUAUGCACGUCUUGACGGUACCUAAUCAGAAAGCCACGGCUAACUACGUG